AAACAUCCUUCAUGGUGGAUAGUUUGGCUUGAUUUUAUGACUGAGUUAAAAUGAGCAAUAAAAACAGAGAGCAUUGGUUUAAACUGAGGACAUUCUUCACCUGCACAGACUUGUAUUUGGUUUUUCUGUGUGGUGUUUCUGGCCACCAUCUGCAGUGUUUAUAUGUGACACAGAGAGACAGCAGAAGUUUAUUAAAGCUGUUUUAUUUCAUGGCUCUCAUCAUGCAGCUGCUUCCUGUCCUGGCUGGGUGUGAGAGGAGGCCAGGCUGCUCCAGAUCUGCUCCAGUCUGUGGAGGCAGAUGGACCUGGAUCAGGCUCCACUAGGUGGGGCCUGUAGCUGCUCUCUGCUCUGCAGAGCUGAGGGGAGAGCAGAGCCGCUGGCAGACACUGAACUCCUCACUUCCUUUCUUUCUUUCUCCUCCAGCAGAGCAGCGGGGCUUCCUCAGCUGCGCGGCCGCCCCACAGCGCUCCCUGCGCGGACUGCUCCUGCAGCAGGCCCCGCUCCAUCGGAGGACACCAUAGAAAGUCCCAGAUCGGUCCGGUUCGGUACCGGCCCGUCCGCCUCCCAGGCUGCUUCUGGCGGACUGAACCAGCCCUCCUGCGACCGGAUACUAACCUCCACGCGUUGAAUGGCGGAUUAAUUUCAAAAAACGAGCAGAAAAAGAGGAAAUCUGUAACGGGAGUACUUACAAUCAUCCACCCGUCCGCUGUGCUGCGCCUCGCUCUCUCUCCUGCUGGCUGUGAUGCUCUCUCUACCAGAGCCGCUCCCUCCUGCCGCUUCAGCUCUCUGACGUCAAGUGUGACGUGACCCUGAAACGACGAACAACCAGCAUGUGUGGGAGGGAGCAGAGCAUGCCGGAGCGUGUUGACACCAACACGUCUCAACCCUCACACACGUGUCAUGUUCCUGUUGCUUACGAGUGCUCAGUUACUGAACCAAAUCUACGUCCAGCGGCCUGAAGCUGGAGUCCGAGCCGUCAGCUGACGCCCUGAAGAACAAGGUGUUUUCUGCAGAGAUCCAGUGUCGUGAAGCCACACCUAAACAGGAAGGAGUCACCAAGAAUAGAGUGGACCUCCACCCAACCAGCUUCCCUUCCACUGACACACACUUCCUCUAAGUCAGUUUGAUGCUUUAUGUAAAUUCCUGCUUUUGCUUUUUUUCAGUUAAAACAAAGAAAUCAGGAUUUUAAGUGAAGAAGUUAUUAAGACUCAUGUUUUUUUGGCUGUUUUCAAAACA